UGAGUCUUCCCUGACAGUUUAACUGUCCUAAAGGGUUGUUCGAGACUAGAACGUUGAUAGGCAGGGUGUGUAAGCGUUGUGAGGCGUUGAGCUAACCUGUACUAAUUGCCCGUGAGGCUUAACCAUACAACACCCAAGGGGUUUUGUA
rnacentral:rRNA from 1 species